rnacentral:tmRNA from 1 species
GGGUUAGUAAAGGUUUCGACAGGGAUCUUGCAGGUGGAGAAGCUAUCCGAAGCCGAUCGUUAAACGGCAAACCUAAAUAUAAACGCUAACGAUAAUACAUUAGCUCUGGCUGCUUAAUUGCAGCCGGCGUCGCCUGCAGAGCACCUGCUCUUUGCAGAUACGGCGUCAAAUUAGCAGGAAACGACGCGGGGAGUGCUUCGUACCCGUGGGCGUAUCAGGAGCUACUUAAGGACUGAGAUUGUCUGUUCUCUCAUCCGGCGGGAACUGCCGUAAGGCGCAAGAACCGACUAUGAUAGUAGAAGUACACUGAAUGGGUUUUUGGACAGGGGUUCGACUCCCCUCUAAUCCACUA